rnacentral:rRNA from 1 species
GAUGAACGCUGGCGGCGUGCCUAAUACAUGCAAGUCGAGCGAACGGACGAGAAGCUUGCUUCUCUGAUGUUAGCGGCGGAUGGGUGAGUAACACGUGGAUAACCUACCUAUAAGACUGGGAUAACUUCGGGAAACCGGAGCUAAUACCGGAUAAUAUUUUGAACCGCAUGGUUCAAAAGUAAAAGACGGUCUUGCUGUCACUUAUAGAUGGAUCCGCGCUGCAUUAGCUAGUUGGUAAGGUAACGGCUUACCAAGGCAACGAUGCAUAGCCGACCUGAGAGGGUGAUCGGCCACACUGGAACUGAGACACGGUCCAGACUCCUACGGGAGGCAGCAGUAGGGAAUCUUCCGCAAUGGGCGAAAGCCUGACGGAGCAACGCCGCGUGAGUGAUGAAGGUCUUCGGAUCGUAAAACUCUGUUAUUAGGGAAGAACAUAUGUGUAAGUAACUGUGCACAUCUUGACGGUACCUAAUCAGAAAGCCACGGCUAACUACGUG